rnacentral:misc_RNA from 1 species
GGCCUUAUAUUGACUGGUUGGGCAGUAUAAAUUGAGUGGCAUGAUUGUGAGUUUUGAAUGGAGGCAAUCCUUGAGGUUCCUCAAAAAUACUGUUAUACUGUUGUAACAGCUGCUGCAACCCUUUGUCAUUCUCAGGACCAGAAGAUACAGCAUUUAAACAAGUUUCGGACAAGUUGGAACUCAUAAUGCAAAAUAGAGGAGUUUGAAAAUCCAACCCUUUUCUUUUAAAAUAUUCUCAGAUUGCCAUAAUCCAGACUAUAAGGAUCCCUCGC